CCUACGGGUGGCAGCAGUGAGGAAUAUUGGUCAAUGGACGAGAGUCUGAACCAGCCAAGUCGCGUGAAGGAUGACUGCCCUAUGGGUUGUAAACUUCUUUUAUAUGGGAAUAAAAUGUUCCACGUGUGGGAUUUUGUAUGUACCAUAUGAAUAAGGAUCGGCUAACUCCGUGCCAGCAGCCGCGGUAAUACGGAGGAUCCGAGCGUUAUCCGGAUUUAUUGGGUUUAAAGGGAGCGUAGGGGGAUUGUUAAGUCAGUUGUGAAAGUUUGCGGCUCAACCGUAAAAGUGCAGUUGAAACUGGCAGUCUUGAGUACAGUAGAGGUGGGCGGAAGUCGUGGUGUAGCGGUGAAAUGCUUAGAUAUCACGAAGAACUCCGAUUGCGAAGGCAGCUCACUGGACUGCAACUGACACUGAGGCUCGAAAGUGUGGGUAGCAAACAGGAGUAGAUACCCCGGUAGUC
rnacentral:rRNA from 1 species